GCAGUAGCCACGGUAAUACGUAGGGUGCGAGCGUUGUCCGGAAUUACUGGGCGUAAAGAGCUCGUAGGCGGUUUGUCGCGUCGUCUGUGAAAUUCUGCAGCUUAACUGUAGGCGUGCAGGCGAUACGGGCAGACUUGAGUACUACAGGGGAGACUGGAAUUCCUGGUGUAGCGGUGAAAUGCGCAGAUAUCAGGAGGAACACCGGUGGCGAAGGCGGGUCUCUGGGUAGUAACUGACGCUGAGGAGCGAAAGCGUGGGUAGCGAACAGGAUUAGAUACCCCAGUAGUCCCUGUCUCUUAUAA
rnacentral:rRNA from 1 species